rnacentral:rRNA from 1 species
AUGAACGCUAGCGGCAGGCUUAAUACAUGCAAGUUGAGGGGCAGCAUGAUAUACGCGAGUAUAUUGAUGGCGACCGGCGGACGGGUGAGUAAUAGGUAGGAGACCUACCUCAUACAGGGGGAUAGCAUAGAGAAAUCUGUGGUAAUACCCCAUUGAGGUUAUAUGAAUAGAGGCAUAUAAUCAAAGCAUAAGCGAUUAUGCGGUAUGAGAGGGGCCUACUGACCAUUAGCUAGUUGGUGAGGUAAGGGCUCACCAAGGCGAAGAUGGUUAGGGGUUUUGAGAGAGAGACCCCCCACAUUGGAACUGAGAGACGGUCCAGACUCCUACGGGAGGCAGCAGUAGGGAAUAUUGGGCAAUGGGCGAAAGCCUGACCCAGCCAUGCCGCGUGAAGGAAGACGGCCUUAUGGGUUGUAAACUUCUUUACUACGCGAAUAGAGGUUAGUACGAGAUACUAAUAGGAAGGUAGUGUAGUAAAAAGCACCGGCUAACUCCGUG